AAUAUCAAAGGUGAGCCAGUACAGGAUGGACCCGCGUCUGAUUAGCUAGUUGGUAAGGUAACGGCUUACCAAGGCGACGAUCAGUAGCCGACCUGAGAGGGGGAUCGGCCACAUUGGAACUGAGACACGGUCCAAACUCCUACGGGAGGCAGCAGGGGGGAAUAUUGCACAAUGGGCGAAAGCCUGAUGCAGCAACGCCGCGUGAGUGAUGAAGGCCUUCGGGUCGUAAAACUCUGUCCUCAAGGAAGAUAAUG
rnacentral:rRNA from 1 species